UGAAGUUCAACUAUUUUUGCGUUAUCUUAAUUGUAUUUCUUGGUCUAUGGACCUGCGAAGCUGAGGAUAAUACUCACAAACAUGGUGGAAAAACAGUGCAACUUUUUGAAACAAGACUCAAUUGGUUCGAUGCUCUAAAAUACUGUGAAGCCAGGAAUAUGACUCUAGCAACCAUUAGAACAAGGGAAGAAAACCUCUCAGUUUAUUCUGCAUUUAAAUCAAUUAUUACCAACCAACUUGCUGUUUGGCUUGGAGGUUACAACUGGUACAACUGCAGGAAUGAUUGCGUUUGGCGUUGGUUUAGUGAUAGAUCUGAAAUAACCUACACCCCUUGGAACAAAGAUCAACCUGACAAUGAUAAUGGAAGAGAAUACUGCCUGGAUAUGGUACCAAAUGGAAAUUUCAAUGAUCUUGAUUGCUUUGAAACAUAUUAUUUUAUGUGUGAAAGCACCUGCAAUUGCAAUUAAUGAUGAAAUGAUACAAACCGAUAAUCGAACGAAUUGACGCAGAAUAUUCGUAUUAGAUUUUUUAUGUAUGAUUUACACAAGGGAUAGAUAUUGUAGGAAAUAUGUGUUUAUCACUUCCAACUGUACUCUCUUCCCUUGUAAUCAUAUUAGUAAUAAUAAAUACUGUGCAUUGA